rnacentral:misc_RNA from 1 species
AACCAUUUCAUUAUAAACUUUUCACAAACGAGGGGAUAUCUCAGGGUGAUGAGGGCCCAUUUGUGGGGAAGGAAAUCCUUCCUUCCCACCCCACAAUAACGUGGGUCCGCCCAUGGUGGCUAAUAUGUGAGAGGAUCCACGAGAAAAUGACAAUAUGCCUUCAAUUUAAGCCUAAGAAGAAAGGAAUGCCAGUAGAAUUCAGCCACUCAACUCCUUGUAUAAAUGCCCCAACAGUAAACUGGCUGGCCUCAGCUGAGCUAUUGAUGACCCUAUAACCUGGCCAGGUAACCCUGGCACUUGUAUUGGAUCCAGGGCCUCUGUUCAUGUACUCUCCAUAAUAAAGGGUACUCAAGGCAAACGACCCAUUCCAUUCUAACCACCCAGCAGGAUCUACCACAUCAUCAAUAUACGAACGAAGGAAAACUGUUCUGGAGUACUGUUUCCAGGGACGCCCAAGAUAUGUGUUGAAGGAUGAUUUUACUGGGAUUAAAUCAGCUGCAGCAGUGACCUUGGAAUUUAUAAUAGAGAUUCCAGUGUUCUGAUUAGGGUCUUCUCUACCUUGGGCAGUGAAUAUAUUUUUCUGGUUUUGGUUUGGUUUACGGGCAUAUAAGUUGCAGUUUUGGAAUACCACAGCUGCAUUGCCAAAAAUGAAGUCGAUAGUUCCAUAAAUGUCACAUUCGCGAUAAAAUUGUCUAAGAGAAUGAACGUAGAGGGUGUCUUGGUAGCCAACGAAGCUGCAUUGGUAGAAUGCUGAGAAAUCUGAACCACUCCUCAAGGCUACUGCUUGGUGCUUGCUAGGCCCCGCUGAGUUCUCAAAUGUUAUGCCCUUUGCUAUGAACCCGUUCCCCACCACGGCGACAGUUGCUGAUCGGAAAGUAGUCCAUCCAUCACCCACGCUCCUAUUAGCUUUCACCACUGUCUUUCCAAUCCCAUCUCCAACGAACAUCAGCAUCUUCUUCUUCUUGUCCACAUCCACAUUCUCAAAAUAAGCCCCGGCCUUUAUAUAUAUCACAAUCCUUGUCGUGCUAGAGUUUGGAGCUGCGGCCACCGCCUGGCCAAUAGUAGUGAAGUUUCCGGUGCCGUCUUUAGCCACUAUUAAAUCAAAUUUUGUUGCAUUCAACGGAGCCUGCAAGAGUUUACGAUCUUUGGAAGACAACCAUGAUGGGAACCCGUGUCUCAUCUUGCCAUACUCGGGGAAAGCCUCGGAAUUGGAUGCGUUAACACCCGGGAUUUUCUUGAGCAUGACUAGAGAGUUGCUCACGUGACGGGAGAUGUUAUACAGGCUAGUCUUGAUUGUUUUCCUCACUUUUCCUUUGCUAUAAGCAAACCCAUCGAGGCAAGUGUACUGGUUUGUCAUUGCAGCGCUUAACAGAGUCUGCAAAUCGUGGUAAUGUUUGGAGGGUGAAGUCUUGGGAGAGAGAUCAGAUAGUGCUAAUGUGAGCUCAUCAAUGGUGUCACUAAAGAGCUCUAGGCAGUCAUUGAGAGCCACAUUUUCAAUUUUGUCUGGCUUUUUAAGCUUUUUUCUAAUGCCUCUGCAGUUGGAGGAGGAGACUCUAACCUCAUACAUUGUGCGGUUUAUGGUACCGGAGAUGAUUUCUGGGAGGGAUUUGGAAGUGAGAUCAGGGAGACUUAGCAGAGUAGAGACACAAAGUUGAGGGUAUAGUGUGCCCUCACAUGCCGAGUGAGGAAUUGAGUAGCGUUUGUGGAUAUGUAAAUGUGGGAUUUCUGGAGUUGUUGAGCUGUUUUUGAGAGUCGUUGUUAGUAGUAUUAAGCAAAGGACUGAAAUGGGCAAUAGAGUAAGCAAGAGUUUAGUUCUUCCACUGUGAAAAUACAUUGUGGAAAGAAGGAGAUUUGAAGUUUGAGCAGACCAAACUCAGAAAGUGAAGGCUUAAAAUAGUGUGGUUGAUGGGUGUCGACUUAUGGAUGGAGCAAAGGAUCUUAUGCUUCUGUUUCUGCCAACAACAAUGACUGGAUGUUGCGUACGUCUGGGCCUGAAGGCCGGAAGGUAACACUGGCCUGGACCUGGAGAUUGCACGCGACGCAAGUGCUGGACCAGGAGCCUAUUUUGAUUUGAAAGAUAGGAGGAGGACUCGAGA